UACCUACGGGACGCAGCAGUGGGGAAUAUUGGGCAAUGGGCGCAAGCCUUACCCAGCAAUACCGCGUGAGUGAAGAAGGUCUUCGGAUUGUAAAGCUCUUUGAUCAGGGACGAACAGAUGACGGUACCUGAAGAACAAGCCCCGGCUAACUACGUGCCAGCAGCCGCGGUAAAACGUAGGGGGCGAGCGUUGUCCGGAAUGACUGGGCGUAAAGGGUGCGUAGGCGGGAUAGCAAGUCAGAUGUGAAAUCCUAUGGCUUAACCAUAGAACUGCAUUUGAAACUGUUAUUCUAGAGUAUGGGAGAG
rnacentral:rRNA from 1 species